rnacentral:rRNA from 1 species
GCGACCCCAGGUCAGGCGGGACUACCCGCUGAGUUUAAGCAUAUCAAAAAGCGGAGGAA